rnacentral:rRNA from 1 species
ACGACUCUCGCCAACGGAUAUCUCGGCUCUCGCAUCAAUGAAGAACAUAGCGAAAUGCGAUACCUCGUGUGAAUUGCAGAAUCCCGCGAACCAUCGAGUCUUUGAACGCAAGUUGCGCCCGAGGCCACUCGGCCGAGGGCACGCCUGCCUGGGCGUCACGC